CUUGGAGUGACGGGCCCGGUCACAGCUGCGACCCCCGCGACAUGUACGCCACUGUGUGUGUGUGUGUGUCUGUUUGUGUCUGUUAGUGACUGUGUGUAUUUCAGGGAGUGUGUCUGUUAGGGAGUGUGUCUGUUAGGGAGUGUGUUACUAUGUGUGUGCCUGUUAGUGAGAGUGUAUGCGUGUCUUUUAGUGAAUGUGUGUGUCUGCUAGUGACUGUAUGUGUCUGUUAGUGAGUGUGUAUGUCUGUUAGCUAGUGUAUGCGUAUCUGUCCGUGAAUGUGUGUGUGUGUAUUUAGAAGGCGGGGCAGGG